CAUAUCAAUGAUACACCUCCAGCGCUCCAGUAGACAACACAAUUAACACAAACAAACCCUAGAUCUGAAAAUUUGAAAUCAAAAUCUGUUGUCUUCUUCCCCUCAACCAGGGCAAGACGCAGCAGCGAGCAGCCCUCCACGAUCGCCAACUCUCGUAUCUCGCCUCUUCUUCCCAUUCUUCCGUUCGUUUCCGUCGACCGCGAACCAGAAGCCGUCGCCGUCGACCGCGAACCAGAAGCCGUCGCCGUCGACCGCGAACCAUAAGCCGUCGCCGUCGACCGCGAACCAGAAGCAGUCGCCGCCGACCGCGAACCAGAAGUCGUUGCCGCCGACCGCGAACCAGCGACUGGAGCUCCACAGACUGCCGUCGGAAGUGUUGCCAGUCCCCGGAAGGAUUUGCCGUGCCGCCAGAGUAGGUUCCGCCCGACUGCUAUUCUUGCUCCAAUUCCGAUUUCAGGCAUUGUGCAGCUUCACUACUAGUUUAUUGGGCAGUCAUGGGUGAUCAACUCUAUGCUUCUUGAGCAGUGCUGUUAUUUGGCAUCACUGAGGUCUAACUUGUGGCAAUGAAUCCCCAAUCUUCUGAAGUACCAAAUCAAACACAUAUAUAGUAGAGGCAGUGUUUGUUUCCAUUAUUUCAUCCUUGAUGUAGUACUGCAUUUAAAUAAUCUAAAAUGAACAUUGAAUUUGUUGAAUCUAAAAUGCUAAUCCUUGUGGUGGCAGUGUAAGUGUCUUUAAAAGCUUCAAUUCUACAAUUUAGAUUAUAAAUAAGGGCUUUUGAGUGUGAAAGGUUCUUGCUUUAAUACAAAUAAUUUCAUUUCAUCUUA